rnacentral:rRNA from 1 species
AUGGGUAAGAACCCCUGGAAGGCUGGAACUACUGUCAAAGUGUCAAUCAACCCCUGGAAGAUCAUUGAUUUUCCUUUUUUUUCCACUGCUGCUUCAGGCUGCCUAAACCUGCUUGGUCCUUAUGAGCACAGCCAUUGGUCACCAGGCCCUACAAAGAGGCGCGCACUUCAGUCAAGCAACUGCAUCUGCAUGUACCCCCUGGAGGCAAAAAAAAAAAAAAAAGCAACUGCAUAUACAUCUUUCCUCAGAAACUUACAGCACAUGCAUAAUGCAGAAAGAACGGAGAGAACACAAGUUCAUCUGGACAACAUUAUAACAUGUCUGUAA